rnacentral:tRNA from 1 species
AUUUAAAUAGCUUAUAAUUAGAGCGUGACAUUGAAGCUGUUAAGGGGAAUUUAUUCUUUAAAUA